GACGAACGCUGGCGGCGUGCUUAACACAUGCAAGUCGAACGGUGAAGCGCCUUCCUUUUUGGUGGGUGUGGAUGAGAGGCGAACGGGUGAGUAACACGUGAGUAACCUGCCCCCUUCUUCUGGAUAACCGCAUGAAAGUGUGGCUAAUACGGGAUAUUCUGGGUCUGUCGCAUGAUGGGUCUGGGACAGCUAUUGUUUCGGUGGGGGAUGGGCUCGCGGCCUAUCAGCUUGUUGGUGGGGUGAUGGCCUACCAAGGCGGUGACGGGUAGCCGGCCUGAGAGGGUGGACGGUCACACUGGGAGUGAGACACCGCUCAGACUCCUACGGGGGGCAGCAGUGGGGAAUAGUGAACAAUGGGCGAAAGCGUGAUGCAGCGACGCCGCGUGAGGGAUGGAGGCCUUCGGGUUGUGAACCUCUUUCGCCAGUGAAGCAGGCCUGCCUCGUUUGUGGGUGGGUUGACGGUAGCUGGAUAAGAAGCGCCGGCUAACUACGUG
rnacentral:rRNA from 1 species